GCAAGGCANAACAAAUGAAUCAAAACUUUCAACAACGGAUCUCUUGGCUCUGGCAUCGAUGAAGAACGCAGCGAAAUGCGAUAAGUAAUGUGAAUUGCAGAAUCCAGUGAAUCAUCGAAUCUUUGAACGCACAUUGCGCCCGCCAGCAUUCUGGCGGGCAUGCCUGUUCGAGCGUCAUUUCAACCCUCGACCUCCCCUGGGGGAGGUCGGCGUUGGGGACCGGCAGCACACCGCCGGCCCUGAAAUGGAGUGGCGGCCCGUCCGCGGAGACCUCUGCGUAGUAAUACAGCUCGCACCGGAACCCCGACGCGGCCACGCCGUAAAACACCCAACUUCUUGAACGUUGA
rnacentral:rRNA from 1 species